rnacentral:lncRNA from 1 species
UAUGAUCCCUAAUUCACAUUUGUCCUCCCUCCCUGGCCCUGGCCUUCCCAAGGACUGCCAUGAAUCAGGGCCCCAGGCCCAGCACUGAGCAAGUCUGCAUAAUUUCCUGAAUGUCACCAAACCCACCUGUCACUCCCUGAGCUUCCCAAACACCAUUCCCUGUGUACCCAGGGAGGCUCCGAGCCAUAUACCAGGAAGCCCCUCUGUGAAAUCCUAUUAGUGUUCUCAGCUAAUUAGCUUGAAAGCACUCUAAGUAAUUAGGAAGGGGGCCAUACAGUGUCCCCACUGGGGAAUGGGAAGUACACCAUCCAGACAGCCUCGGAGAGCUCCCUCAUCUCUCCCUCCACGCUGUGAACUCAUCUCUUCCUGAACAUCUUCCCUCUCUCCCAUGGCCUCGGUGCUGUGCUAGGGCAGGAGCGUGGCUCAGAGAAACAUUUAUAUUCAGACAUACAAUGGGAAUGGGAGCAAGUUUUGAGAUAUUAACUUAGGUUUUCUUUCUCCUCUUUGCCCUUCCCUCUCAUUUCAGCCAGCAGCAGCUCUAAACUUCACUGCUGCAGGGAGGAUGUGGCAGAGCGGAAGGAGGGAGGCAGGAGGCAGGGGGACCGCCCCCCGACCCUCUAGCAUAGCAUUUCCUGCUGCCCCCAGCAACACAGUGGUGUAUCUAGAUGAUCCCAGGCCUACCACAGAACAGAAAUGAUGGAUAGAAAAGAUGGAUGUAGGCUGGGCACGGUGGCUCAUACCUGUAAUCCCAGCAUUUUGGGAGACUGAAGUGGGUGGAUCACAAGGUCAAGAGAUCAAGACCAUCCUUGCCAACAUGGUGAAACCCCGUCUCUACUAAAACUACAAAAAUUAGCUGGACAUGGUGGCAUGCGCCUGUAGUCACAGCUACUAGGGAGGCUGAGGUAGGAGAAUCACUUGAACCUGGGAGGCAGAGGUUGCAGCAAACCAAGAUCAUGCCACUGCACUCCAGCCUCAUGACAGAGUGAGACUCCAUCUCAAAAAAAAAAAAAAAAA